UACGUAGGGUGCAAGCGUUGUCCGGAAUUAUUGGGCGUAAAGAGCUCGUAGGCGGUCUGUCGCGUCUGCUGUGAAAACUCAGGGCUUAACCCUGAGCUUGCAGUGGGUACGGGCAGACUAGAGUGCGGUAGGGGAGACUGGAAUUCCUGGGUGUAGCGGUGAAAUGCGCAGAUAUCAGGAGGAACACCGGUGGCGAAGGCGGGUCUCUGGGCCGU
rnacentral:rRNA from 1 species